CCAGAAAGCUGGGGGAAAUUGCCCCGAAGAGGUGUUCUCCUUCCACUCCCCGGGUUCAAACUAUUUCUUCGAUCCGAAGCUCGAUAGAUCCAUAAACUCCGAUUGGCGGCACGACCCGGCGAAUGCACAACAGAAUUACGGCCUUGUGAGAGCACACAGACACGUGGAGAAGAUGCAAACUCAAUACAGGAAGCCCCGAGCUGAGAUUUGAACUGAGAACUUCAAAAAUGUGCUGUGGAUGUCCUAAUCACUUUGUGACCGUGUUACAAAAUACAUUCUGAAAACAGUUGGGGGGGAAAUAACCCAGUUGAAAAGGAAAUGACCACCAGUUGGGUCAAAUGAAUAACCCACGUUUUUUUUCUUGUCCCCCCCCCCCCAAAAAAAACGAAAAAAGUCUUUUACACAAUAAUUUAAAAUACAUCAGACCCACAAACAAUCAUAAUUAUGAUAAUGAUAAACAUCACGGUCUGGCCCUUGUAGGACUCCUGAUGAAAGACAAUUUUACAUGCUUUUUCUUGGGGGGGGGGGUAGGUUUUGAUGAAGAACGUGUGUGAAGUUGCAAAAUGCUCUCUUGUAAAUUUUUGUAUGACACUUAAAUCCCUAUUGUAGUCAUUCUCAGGACACACCCAUGGGAAUCCUGAGAGUUUGCAACCGUCACAAAGGGAUAUCCUUUUCAUUGACGUAUUCCGUUGACCUGGAUGGCUCCAAGCCAAUGAAAUACACUCAGUGAGAAAAUUGUUUUUCAUGAAUCAGGUUCUUCCCUUGUUAAGGAUUGGAAAUAGAUUAAACACAGAGCUAACAAGCACUACAGAGUAUACGGCACAUACAGAAUUUCUUUUUUUGAUUAAGUUUUUUGCUUAGAACAUUUUAUGUGGAUUUUUUUUAAAUGCUUCUGUUAUCAAUGUGAUGCUUCCACGAACAACAUGGCUGCAAGCAAAGGAGCUUGUUCACAAAAGUGCAGUCAGUGUUGCAAAAUUUGUGACUUUUCCUACCUCUCUCGUGACUAUUUUUCCCAUAAGUGACUAGCAUCUUAAAAAUGGAUGUACGAAUUUCUUCUAAGGUUGACUCACUACAGAGCAAAGUAUUGGCUGCAGCGCUGUGAAAUUUGAAUGCAUAACAAAUAAAAUAAAAUCAGUCAGCUUAUGAAAUGAGGCUUCAAAAUUCGAGAAAAUCAAGUCGUUCUCUCUGCUCUCAGGCAGAGAGGGUGUGCCCGCUGAAUGUGCUGAACCCACACUCAGCUCAAUAGUCAAUCACAUACUACUGCUAUGACUUGGAAAAACGCUACUUUGUUCAGCAUAUUUCUUAUGCCUACCCAUAAUUAUAUGUUUGAGCCACGAAAAUAUUGACAAGUGCUGGGCUUUUCCAGGCCAUAACAAUGAGUUGCUCGAAAGCAGGCACGGCAGCGUAAAUUACCAGUCCUCAUGUUGGCUAUCACGUCGGACCUAAACAUUGUUUUCACCUUGCUUUGCCGCUUUCUCUACAUAAAGUGUGCAUGCUCAAGGCGGCACUCUAAAGCUGUCUUGCCAGCUCGAAACCCCGGUCCACGACUAGCUGUCUUUUUCUUGCCUGCCUUGCUUUUCUGCCUUCUCUCUGUGACGCGAGCACACUACAAGGCACAACAACCAAAUCAGCAAGCUAUCCAAUCGGAAGAUGUACUGAAUUUCAAGGCAUAAGUAUAGCUAGCAAGCUAACUGCACAUCGCAAUUGCAUAGAUAAUUGUUAAUGUGAACAAAAGCGCUUGAGUUUUUAUAUCAAUGGCAUGUUGUCGUUUAAAGCACGCCCAAAACUGAAAAGGGCGAGAAACAGUUCAACACAAUAUCUCCACAAUUCAGUAUGACAUAGCUCUCUGUCUUGGCACGUUUUCAGCGGUCAUCUUCAAGCAUGUAGAAUUUAUCUAGCUGCUCAGGCCAGGUACCAAAUUCUAAGCGAAAGCUGAGAGGGGAUAGAGCUUUUUUUCUAUUGCUGGUCCCAAAUGAAGGAAUGAUCUCCCUGUGCACAUUACACAGACCCCCUCAGUGUCCAUUAUUAUUACUUGACUUCCAAUACAGCAUGAGACUGUAUUUGUUUUGGUAUGCUGUUUGUUUUAUGUGAAUCGUGUUAAAUAAAAAAAGAUGUAUUGUUUUGUA